rnacentral:misc_RNA from 1 species
AAAAAAAAAAUUCCUAUGCAGAAAUUUGGUUUUCCAAGGCAGUUGCUUGUGUACAUGUUGAUCAUGAAAGAUGAAAAGGAAAUACUGAGGGUUUUAAAUCUGAAUUUGAGCAGUGUCAAUAUGCAUGAUUAAGUAUAAUUAAAAUGAAUAAUUACACAACACUUUGCCUAGUGGUAGGUGCACCUCUGAACUUGGGAAGGUCCCAAGUUUGAGUUCAGGGUGAUUAGAAUGAACAAUUGAAGUCAGUAAGCUUUUGUGAACUGUUGUUUCGUACAUAUGAAACAUCUUUUAUUUAAGUAAAAGUGUAAAACCAACAACUGUUCUAUUAUAUUAAUUGUUGAUUUUGAAUUAUUUUUCCUUUUAAAAGUUUCCAAGUUUAUGUAAAUUAUGAAACUUCAAAUUGGUGCUCUUCUCAGUGGGGAAAUACUAUUU